rnacentral:tRNA from 1 species
CAAAAUGUAGCUUAACUAAAGCCCUUCGCUUACACCGAAAAAAUAUCUGUGAAACUCAGAUCCUUUUGA